rnacentral:ncRNA from 1 species
CCCGCUGAAUUUAAGCAUAUUACUAAGCGGAGGAAAAAGAAACUAACAAGGAUUCCCUCAGUAGCGGCGAGCGAAGAGAGAAGAGCCCAGCGCCGAAUCCCCGCCCGGCGGUCGGGCGCGGGAAAUGUGGCGUACGGAAGUCUGCUUGCCCGGCGGCGGCAGGGGGGCCUGAGUCCUUCUGAUAGAGGCUCUGCCCGUAGACGGUGUGAGGCCGGUAAAGGCUCCCGUCGCGCCGGGGUCCGGUCUUCUCGGAGUCGGGUUGUUUGUGAAUGCAGCCCAAAGCGGUGAUAACUCCAUCUAAGCUAAUACCGGCGCGAGACCGAUAGCCGACAGUACCUUAAGGGAAAGUUGAAAAGACUUUGAAGAGAAGUCAACAGGCGUGAAACCGUUGAGAGGUAACCGGGGGGUCCGCGCAGUCUGCGCGGGGAAUUCAGCUCCGGGGAUCGGUCGGUCGCUUGGUGCGUGUGGGGGGGGGGUCUCCUCCCCUCCCGACGCCUCGCUGGCCUGUGCCUUCUCCGGGGUGCACUUCCUCCGUGGCGAUGCGCCGCGACCGGCUCCUGUUCGGCUUGAAAAGGCUCGGGGUUAAGGUGGCCCGCGGCGCGAGUCGCGUGCUUUACAGCGCCCCCUGGCCCGUACCUCGCCGCUUCUGGAGGGCCGUGGACUUAGUACUCGCUGCGCCCUCUCUCCCCGCGGGGAGAGACGGGGCCCCCUGCUCCCGGCGUGGCUGUCGAGCGGGGCGGACUGUUCUCAGUGCGCCCCAACCGCGUCGCGUCGCCCGGGCGGGGAUCGGCUCUCGUAAAAGGCGUCAGGAGUCUGCGGCGAUGUCGGCAACCCACCGGACCCGUCUUGAAACACGGACCAAGGAGUCUAACGCGUGCGCGAGUCAGAGGGUGGUUACGAAACCCCGUGGCGCAAUGAAAGUGAGGGCCGGCGCGCGCCGGCCGAGGUGGGAUCCCGGCCCCCCCGUGGGCAGGGCGCACCACCGGCCCGUCUCGCCCGCAGCGUCGGGGAGGUGGAGCGUGAGCGCACGCGAUAGGACCCGAAAGAUGGUGAACUAUGCCUGGGCAGGGCGAAGCCAGAGGAAACUCUGGUGGAGAGCCGGCAGCGGUCCUGACGUGCAUGAAUGGAUGAACGAGAUUCCCACUGUCCCUACCGACUAUCUAGCGAAACCACAGCCAAGGGGACGGGCUUGGCAGAAUCAGC